GAUGAACGCUGGCGGCGUGCCUAAUACAUGCAAGUCGAGCGAACAGACGAGGAGCUUGCUCCUCUGACGUUAGCGGCGGACGGGUGAGUAACACGUGGAUAACCUCCCUAUCAUACUGGGAUAACUUCGGGAAACCGGAGCUAAUACCGUAUAAUAUCUUGAACCGCAUUGUUCAAUAGUGAAAGACGGUUUUGCUGUCACUUAUAGCUGGAUCCCCGCCGCAUUAGCUAGUUGUUAAGGUAACGGCUUACCAAGGCAACGAUGCGUAGCCGACCUGAGAGGGUGAUAGGCCACACUGGAACUGAGACAGGGUCCAGACUCCUACGGGAGGCAGCAGUAGGGAAUCUUCCGCAAUGGGCGAGAGCCUGACGGAGCAACGGCGAGUGAGUGAUGAAGGUCUUCGGAUCGUAAAAAUCUGUUAUUAGGGAAGAACAAAUGUGUAAGUAACUAUGCACGUCUUGACGGUACCUAAUCAGAAAGCCACGGCUAACUACGUG
rnacentral:rRNA from 1 species